UAUAUAUACACACGCACACGCACACGCACACGCAUAUAUGUAAUUCGUUUACCUCAUCGUACAACUUCAUUUGACUCCGACAAUACGUGCCUCCUUCGUCUUCUUCCUCCAUACACUCACAUUAACCUAACUUUUUUCUUUUUUUCCGUUCUGAUUCAUUCACUGUUUCUCCUCUCAGCGUCGGAUAUCCGCCAUGGGGGGAGGAAAUGGGCAGAAAUCCAAGAUGGCACGCGAGAAGCACAUGGAGAAGCAAAAAGCUACCAAGGGAAGCCAGCUUGAUUCCACCAAGAAAGCCAUGAACAUCCAGGUAGCCCUCUGCAUGGUUUCGAGCUUGGAUUUUUCACAUGUGCUGUCUGUGUCAUAUAAUUUUUGACACGUCUUUUCCUUCUCCUGUGUGCAAAACCUCGCAAAUUAUACGUGUCAAAAUGGGCUGAAGGUGGCCAAAUUGAUAGUGUAAAGAAUCGCUCGAGCCAAUGACAAAUGGAACUUCUUAGAUCAUUACUUUGUUUAUAUUUUUACUUCUGUGAAAGAAUUCAGGAUUAGGUGUUAAAUGAUAUACCAUGAUGACAUGUUUUGAGAUAUGUAAAUAUCGAGGAACUUUCAAUCAAGCAAUAGUAACUUGUGUUCCGGGUAUAGGUUUUGCAUGCACGAUGCUGUUAGGACUCACUUACAUGGCGAAUGUUGGAGCCAUAUCUGACUAACUAUACUUAUCUCUGUUUUCUUCUAUUGAUGUUGGUAUGUACAUAUGUAUGUCAAAUACCAGUUCACAGUGAGCAAGAUUUGCUCUUUGUUUAUUUUGUCUUGGUUUUAUGAUGAGAAACUCUGUUAUAAGACUGAUAGCACAUUGGAAUCUCAAA